AAAUAUAUCUUAAAAACUAAAACACACACUAUGGCUGCGAUGCAUUUCGCAACCCGGCUGUGUCAGGGAGCCGGCCGCGGAACCGCCGAAACUUGAAACUCUUCGGCCAAAACUCCUCCUUUGUGAAGGUCGCUAGACGUUCAGUCGGAACGCUCACCAAGUCACCACAAAAGAAUUGAAAUUCGCACUGUGUCUAGAUUCCAACUUCGCGAACCUCAGGGCGAAUCCGGACUUGACUCCUACAUACUUUAUUACGAUAUCCUCGACCUUCGUAAUGUAGUGUAAUCGGGACAUAUACAGCAGCGUCGACGGUGUUGCGGGACGUAGCAAAUGGUACCGCACUUAUCCUGAUGAGCUGUCUUCUUUCUCUUCUUCACCUUUUUGAAUCUAUCUCCGUCGCAUCGCGACUUACGAGGAGUGACUAUCAACACGGCGCUCGAAUCGGAAGUCAGUUAUUAGAUCUGUUUCCAAUAUGAUACUGAUGUCAGUGCCAAAAGAGACAUUUCUUCGACCAUAAACGUCACUUUUGACAUUGACAGAUCAGCAUCAUAUUGGAAACAGAUCGCAUUACUAAAACUCGAAUCGGCCUGUAAUUACCUAUAUAAACAGAAAACACUAGGUUCCUAUGAUACCUAAAUAUUAAAAAGGUAAGUAAUAAGAAAUAGACAGAAAUCAUAUAAUUGUUGAUAAAAAACCAAAAUUUAACUCAAUCAGUCCAGUAGUUUCGGAGCAAAUCGGCUGUGACAGACGGACAUACAAAUAGACAGACGUCUGUUUCUACCUAUAAGGGUUUCAUUUUCUCCUUUUGAGGUACGGAACCCUAGACAAAUGGUAUUAUUUUAAGCGCUAUCUAUCGCACUAUUAGACAGUUUAACUUCUUACCGGUGUAACUGUGGUAUAAAGCAGUAAAUCUUAAUAUUUUUUCUAAUUAUGUGUAGUCUGCCCCACCACCACAUUAUUAUUAUACAGAAGCCAUACCAAACAAUGAAAUUAUCGCAAUUGCAACCUGUACCACGCGACCAAAACGUCGUAAACGCCGAAAAAUUCAUGGCACUUACGCGUUUAAGUCGCGGGAUUCACGCUCCGCUUCUAUGGAUUGUCGUCAAAACAACAACUUAUGGCGCAAAAUACUGGUCCUUUGUACUGGUUCUAUACGUAGAAAUAAUAUUUCAAACUUUGUUCAAAAUUCUUAACGACUUCCUAACCUAGUCGGUAGUGACUCUGCCUAUGAAGCGUGAGGUCCUGGAUUCGAAUCCUGGUAAGAACAUUUAUUUGAGUGUAUAUAAUAUACUUGAGUUAUAUUUUUUAUUAAACUUACCGUGGGACUACGUCGAUUUGUGUCCUGUAAUAUUUAUUAAUUAUUAUAACUGAUUUUCUAAGAUGUCAGUACUCCUGCAAACCCUUAUCGUUAUUACUCUUAAUAUAGACGUACUCAGUUCGGACUUUAUUGAAACAUUUUAUAAUUCAUUUUGGUACAGUCAGCAUCAAAAGUAGCGGAUCAAACAAGGUUUCAAAAGUAUCUACCAUUCUGUUACAACUUAACAAAAUGUGGUGGUUCUAUAUGUAGAACAAUUAAGACGGUAAAAGAUAUACUUUUGAAUGUAAAUUUUAGAGAUUUAUUUAUAUUUGGAAAAGUUAUCCAGAAUAUCAGAUACUUUUGGCGCGUUGUUUCAUCCGCUACUAUUGAUGCUGACUGUACCUCUACCUGCUGCAAUGUUGAGAUGCCGCCAGAUAUAAUUUGUCUGGCAACAUCCUAAUGUAAUCAUCGUACAACGUUCCUCUUUACUCCACCAAGUUGUUUCAAUAUAUAGUUAUAACCUUAAAUACGAUAUUUAAGGACUGGAUGGUGUGUUAUUGUUUCUAGAAUUAGUGGUUUACGACCGACUUGUUCAAAUAAUUAUUUGCAUAGGCUCGAUGCAUAACAAAAAAUCAUAAACAUGUAAAAAAUAAUUCGGUUCGUACUGGAUGAGUUUUUAUUAAUAAGUUCUUAAGCCAAAUAUUUUGACUAAGUAGUAUAGGUAGUUUGUGAAGUAAGGGCUUGUAGAGUUAGAAGCUUAGCUAUACAAGAGAUCUAAUAACUUUUUGUCAGUGCGAGCCUUAUGGUCUCGUCUUGGCUACAUUUUACAUGAAAAUGUUUUUGAUGGGAUAAUAUAUAGGUAUAAUAAAUAAAUUCCAUCGUAAACAUGAUACUAUCAAAAAUGCAUUUGUAACAAACACUACUACCAUUUAGGCAGAAAGCACCUAUUUUACACGAUAUCUCUUUGGAGCCAAUUUCUGCAUUUUUACCGCCGCUAUAAAAUACCGCUUACUUUGCAUAUCCGACACAAUUUUGUUUUAUGGGGUCAAUAUAAGUUAAGUGAGGCCAGUGAGGGUAAUAUUUUUAUAAGCUACGUAAAAUAGAAUAAUUGAGACUCAAAUAACGCCUUCUGUACCUGUUUCAUUCGGGCAAUUAGGUACAUGACACAAGGCGUUCUCUUGAUAUUAAGGUUGCGUAAAUGAUUAUAAUAUAGAAUAGAAACAGUAAAUACUGUGACAGGUUACGCAAAGUUUGGGAAGUAGUUAACCGUAACUAGACGUAUUCAAGAUGAACUGUACCCCUAGUGUAAAUAUUUUCGACAGCGAAACGUUACGUACGCGUUUGCGUUAAGUGUAAUUUUGUAUGAGAUUUUUGACUUUCCAAAACGUCCCGCUUGGCGCGCUGUUCAAAAACCCAUACAAAAUGAGACUUAACGCAAACGCGUACGUCACGUUUCGCUAUUGACUAAAUUUACACUAGAGGCACUGGACUAUAUUGGACCGUUUUGUUGUCUGCCGCGGGACCAUUCAUUAUCGAGUUUCGUAAAUACGGAACAACUUACACUUUCAAAUCGGCUUGGAUGACUAGGCAAGUCUCAGACUUUCUCCGGGUUUACGACUGACAUGUUAGCUGCCUAUAACGCAUCUAUGGGUUCUCUCGGUACUAGAGCUUCUUCGGAUUUCUUUCCAUUUUUAAUUUCAUUUUGUGUAACGUCACAGCGAUUGUAAUGCUUCUUACAGCGCCGGUCAUUUGCGCUCUAACAUGAGCACGCGGCGGCCGCGCAUUCCGUUACUAAAUACGACUUACCGCUGAUCCAAAACGCGGCGUCGCGUUUUGAUCUCAGCAUUGUAAAUAAGGAAUUACCGUAAACCGGUAACGUGACAGUUUGGGACUAGGCUAGACGUUUGUUAUUGUGUGUACCAGAGAAAAGUGUGACGUAUUAAGAAAAAUGUGCGGUCAUUAAAUAACAAGCGUUUGCCCCGGGUAAUAACCACGGCUCAUGGGAGCCUGGGGCUCGCUUGGCAACUAAUCCCAAGAAUUGGCGUACGCUUUGAUGACGUUGGAUUUAUAAUAUAAAAACACGUACUACAAAAUGAUAAUGAAACUAUUUGCAAGCAGACUUGAUCAUUGGAGCAUAACGCACUAUCGUUUGCUUGCAGCUAUUGUUACUUCUGAUAUCGAUAAUGCCAUAGAUUAAUUAUAAUUUUCAUAGAUACUACAUUGGAAAGAACUGUGGUAUAUUUUUCCGCGUGUAUGUAUUUAUAUUGAAGUUACAAAAGCCAUAUAUUUUCCACCGCUCAUGACAUGGUUUACGGAUUUCUGAAUAUUUAUUGGGUAAUAAACCACCAAAAAUAUAUCUUAUAUUUGUUAUUAGUACGUAUGGUGUCCGUUUGGUGGUGGGUACUACUACAUAAUUCUGACACAAACCAUGCAUUGCAGAAUUGUAGCUAUAGCGCAUUCGCAGGUUAUCUGAGAGUAGCGUUACUUUGUUUUGAGGUUAACAUCCACGCAAAUGACAUUUUGUACGGUGCCUCAUGAUAUGCCGUCACAUACCGUUUUCGCAGAUUGUAUGCAUUCUUUAAAAGUAGGUUUUGAUAAAAUGUAAUCUAACUUUGGUUUGAUAUCCGCCACUAAUAAAAAAUAAAAAUCUAAUUUAUAACCAUAAUAGGUAAUGAGAAACAAAAUAUAUCUACUUGUAGGUACAGAUUUGCUUUUAUCAAUUAAGCACUUUUAUAAGAAAAGUUUCGUCGGCGAGCGCAGCGAGAUUAAGACUCAAUUCUAGUAAUUAAAACAUUUACGUCGAUUAUGAAAUUAUUAUAUCUAGAUACCUAUAAUUUAAAUAUCAUUUGGCUGUAAAAAUUAGGUUAUAAUUUUAUUACCGAUUAUAUUUCAAUAUAAAAUUGUCUCUACAAUGAUAUCAAAUAUCAACAUAUACUUACUCUUAUAAGUACAUCUUAUUUAUGGAACUGGAAGUUCUACAAAUACUAGCACAUGUUGGUUUAUCUUCACUAGAUUGAUACGGUGCGUGCCCGUGCCUGAUAUAAAAUAAUUGAUAAUCUCACCUUAGAAUAACCAGUCUUCCUUGCGCAGGCGCGGGGCUUGGUGCAAAAAGCAGUGAAAAAAGUGUAAAGUAGCCAGUAUCCGUUCGUAGAAGCGACGUAUUUCUUUCGUCUUUUUUGUGCUAUACGUGUAUUGGCAUUUGGUCUUAACGGUGUCAUUCUUCGUUUGGCAAAAAAAUCUGAACUUAAUUGAUUAUAAACAUAGUGCUUAACUAGUUGCAGUGCGCAAAAAAAAAUGUAAAAUAGAAAAGUAUAAAGCGUAAAGUAUUAAUAUAAUGCUCUACCAGAAAAUAAGAUACCUCGUGCCUGAAAUGGAUUAUAAUACGAUUAAAAAAUGCAUGAAUUAAAACAUAUAAUUAUUUUUGCUAAAGAGAAUAAAAUUUAUCUACGUAUAUUCUCUGUGGUGGCUUAUGUAUAUGAGUUCGAUUUCCGAAAACCCAUUUAUAAUAGCAGUUGCAUAAGUUAAAUACAAAAAUAGCAGGUAGAUAUCGUAAUAGCAUAUGCAAAUCAUAGUUUUCAUGUUGAGCGCGCCCGUUUUAUGGAAAUUUUCUUUUUUAUGAGUAUAGCAUAGCGUAACGACCUAGAUAUUUUAAUCUGCAAAGAUAAGCAGUCUGCGUUUCUGACAGUCCAUUUAUUAGCUAUACUACUUUUUUAAUUAUACUGAAGCUUUAUUACCUAAAUAUUAAAAUAGCCAAUGGGUAAUUCUAUUUAAGUUGUACCCUCAACUCUUCUGUUAUAAUACGGAAUUUUCAUAUUUUUAUACUCAGAAUCAUGAGCUUUUUCUAUCUUUACCGGGAAAAAAUGUCUCCAAAGUUUUUAGUUCAUUUGGGUUAAGUUUUUAGUCGAAUCUUCUAUGACAAAACGGACAAACAAAAACUAUAACAAAAAAGACAACAAAGCUAUGAAAUUUUGAAGACUGCUUUUUAGAGGCAAUGUGAUGUGUUUGUGAGCGCGUGAUUCUCCAUAGAAAUAAUAUAAACAUUCCAAAAUCUAAAGUGCAAGUUUGGGGUAUAAUUUUAAAUAAGCCCCAAUGGAUGUUAUACAUAAUAUCAGUAGGGUAACCGGCCAUUUUUUUUUCGUAUACUAAUAUUUAUAAUAAUAUUUAUAUCUUCUUCCUCGCGUUUUGUCGACCCCCGGCAUUUUGCCACGUCUCAUAAGAGCCUGGGGUCCGCUUGACAACUAAUCCCAAGAUUUGGCGUAGGCACUAGUUUUUACGCAAGUGACUGCCAUCUGACCUUCCAACCCAGAGGGUAAACUAGGCCUUGUUGGGAUUAGUCCGGUUUCCUCACGAUGUUUUUCUUCACCGAAAAGCGACUGGUAAAUAUCAAAUGAUAUUACGAUGAUGAAUUGAUGAUGUUAGCAGAUAUGUGAAGGUAAUAUUACGUAGGUGCCUACACAUAUCGUUUGUUAACAGGGUAAAGAAAAACAUGUGAUUUCCAACAUUCCGAGAUAAUCUAUCAUUUUCUGACAGUGCCAGAUGUCUUUAUCUCUCGUCAAAUAUCUAACAGGUUAACUACCUGUUGUGUGCUGUUACAAAUAAGGAACAACUUCAAAAUCAGCAAAGUUCAAAAUGCAAUGUUUCAAGCAUAAUACUGACGUCACAAUAGGGAUAAAUACAUAAAUACAUUAACAUUAACUUGAGUAGAAGAUCUGAAUAUGAGUAGAGGCUGUACAUCCAACAUUAAAUGUGUUAAAAAAAACACCAAAAUCGUUAUAGGUAUGACAUUCAUAUCACAUUCAUAUUGAAUGAUGAUAGAAAUAUAUAAAUAGAAUAGAAAUAUUUAUAUUCGUAAACCCAAACGAGACAAUUUAUACUUAAGUAUAUACAUACCAAACAUCCAUAUCUCAGAAACCAAUAUUCAUGAUAAAUACACAAAUAAAUAAAUGUCCUUAUCGGGAUUUGAACCCGCGACCUCCUCCUUCUUGGCCGGGUCAAUGGCGGCUAGGCUAAGAGGCCGUUAAAACGUUCACGUGGACAAGCUUGCAACACGAACAUAACCCAGCCAGCUUAUUUAGCACACUUACAAUAUAGAACGUCUUAGAUACCGUUGUUCAUUGCAAUGUCAUAACGCCUGAUCUUGAUCCAAGCCUUGAUACAUUUCACACAGUGUAUUAUAAUAAAGCGAGAAUUCUGAGAAAAUCCCAAACUGCCCGCUAUUGUUUGUGUUAUUGUGAUAUCUUCGUCUCACACAAUGUCAUGUGACCAACAUUUUGGAGGCUGUAAGUGGGUUUGGCCUACACAGCUAUAUUCAUUUUCAUUAUAUUUAUGUGCAGAGUUUAGUUUGAGUAUCAUUACCUGGUUUUAAUUCCGUACCUACACGUCGCGAUGAAGUUGAUAUCUCUCGAGUUAUCAAAUCCUUCCCGCCGUGUAGCGAAUUCACCUCAGCGGCACUUAUGUUCUCAGUUAUGAUAUUACGAGUAAACAGUAAGGCAUGCUAAAAUUUGCCAUUUCUAUGUCUAAAACAGUGAUGAUUUGAUUUGACGACUCUACGAGUAAGUAUGUACAAUCGACGUCAAAGAUAUAUUUAUCUAC